CUGGAGCCUGCACUGGUACCAC
rnacentral:siRNA from 1 species